ACAAGUUGGCGUUCGAUGGGUCCAAGGGAAGCCUGUGCGACUCAGGCGCGGACCCGCCGCUGUAACCCCGGCACGUCCCCUUACAACAGCCACUGUGCUGCACCGGUCGGUGCAGGAUGGGAAGGCGUAAGGGUGAGCGGGGAGCCAGAAGACCUGCCCAUCGAACUCUUCACUG
rnacentral:ncRNA from 2 species